UCUCCGUUGGUGAACCAGCGGAGGGAUCAUUAUAGAGUUUUAUAACUCCCAACCCUUUGUGAACCUAUACCUAUCUGUUGCCUCGGCGCAGGCUGGGAGCUUCUGUAAACUCCCCCCCGCGGACUCACCUCUGCGCGGAGCAGGCCCGCCGGCGGCCCCACCAAACUCUUGUUUUUAGUGUCUCUUCUGAGUUAAACAAACAAAUGAAUCAAAACUUUCAACAACGGAUCUCUUGGUUCUGGCAUCGAUGAAGAACGCAGC
rnacentral:misc_RNA from 1 species